rnacentral:rRNA from 1 species
GACGGAGGAUGCAAGUGUUAUCCGGAAUCACUGGGCGGAAAGCGUCUGUAGGUGGUUCGAAAAGUCCACUGUUAAAAAUUGAGGCUUAACUUCAAAGAUGCCGUGGAAACUUUCAAACUAGAGUAUGGUAGGGGUAGAGGGAAUUUCCAGUGGAGCGGUGAAAUGCGUAGAUAUUGGAAAGACCACCGAUGGCGAAGGCACUCUACUGGGCCAUUACUGACACUGAGAGACGAAAGCUAGGGGAGCAAAUGGG